ACACAACUUCUUGGCUAUUUUUGUCGUUGCAACUUCAUGCCAUCAAUUUGCAGAUUAAAAAAUAUUUGCUGUAUCAUGUCAUUCUAAGAAAGAUAUAGGAAGAUGCUUCAAACUUAUUCGUCAAUAAGCAGCAAACUCAGAAAUGAAUACUGUAUCAACUACUAAAGCAUGAUUAGUGAGUAUAUUGAGGAAGUAUAGGUUUGAAAGAUCACCUGAUACUCAGAUACCAUUAAAGAA